rnacentral:rRNA from 1 species
GGAUUAGAUACCCUGGUAGUCCACGCCGUAAACGAUGAGAACUAGAUGUCGGGAGGAAUUGCCUUUCGAUGUCACAGCUAACGCGUUAAGUUCUCCGCCUGGGGAGUACGCCGGCAACGGUAAAACUCAAAGGAAUUGACGGGGACCCGCACAAGCGGUGGAGCAUGUGGUUUAAUUCGAUGCAACGCGAAGAACCUUACCUGCCCUUGACAUCCUCGGAACUUGUCAGAGAUGACUUGGUGCCUUCGGGAACCGAGUGACAGGUGCUGCAUGGCUGUCGUCAGCUCGUGCCG